GAACUACAUCUACGUGUAGAUGUUUGACGGUACCGUAAGAAUAAGGAUCGGCUAACUCCGUGCCAGCAGCCGCGGUAAUACGGAGGAUCCGAGCGUUAUCCGGAUUUAUUGGGUUUAAAGGGUGCGCAGGCGGGUAUAUAAGUCAGAGGUGAAAUUCCACGGCUCAACUGUGGGACUGCCUUUGAUACUGCAUAUCUAGAGUAUAUUUGGAGUGGGCGGAAUGUAGCAUGUAGCGGUGAAAUGCUUAGAUAUGCUACAGAACACCGAUCGUGAAGACAGCUCACUAAACUAUAACUGACGCUCAGGCACGAAAGCGUGGGGAGCAAACAGGAUUAGAUACCCUGGUAGUCCACGCCGUAAACGAUGAUUACUCGCUGUUGGCGAUACACAGUCAGCGGCUAAGCGAAAGUGAUAAGUAAUCCACCUGGGGAGUACGAUCGCAAGAUUGAAACUCAAAGGAAUUGACGGGGGCCCGCACAAGCGGAGGAGCAUGUGGUUUAAUUCGAUGAUACGCGAGGAACCUUACCUGGGCUCGAACGUAGUGUGACUAAGUGUGAAAGCAUUUAUUUCUUCGGAACAGACUACGAGGUGCUGCAUGGUUGUCGUCAGCUCGUGCCGUGAGGUGUUAGGUUAAGUCCUGCAGCGAGCGCAACCCCUAUUCUUAGUUGCCAGCAUGUCAUGAUGGGGACUCUAAGGAAACUGCCUACGCAAGUAGUGAGGAAGGCGGGGAUGACGUCAAAUCAGCACGGCCCUUACGUCCAGGGCUACACACGUGCUACAAUGGCCGGUACAGAGGGCAGCUACAUAGCGAUAUGAUGCGAAUCUCGAAAGCCGGUCUCAGUUCGGAUUGGAGUCUGCAACUCGACUCCAUGAAGUUGGGUUCGCUAGUAAUCGCGCAUCAGCCAUGGCGCGGUGAAUACGUUCCCGGGCCUUGUACACACCGCCCGUCAAGCCAUGGAAGCUUGGGGUACCUGAAGUCCGUAACCCACAAGGAGCGGCCUA
rnacentral:rRNA from 1 species